rnacentral:rRNA from 1 species
GAUGAACGCUGGCGGUAUGCUUAACACAUGCAAGUCGAACGGAACCUUCGGGUUUAGUGGCGGACGGGUGAGUAACGCGUGAGAAUCUGCCUCUAGGUCGGGGACAACAACUGGAAACGGUUGCUAAUACCCGAUGUGCAGCAAUGUGAAAGAUUUAUUGCCUAGAGAUGAGCUCGCGUCUGAUUAGCUAGUAGGUGUGGUAAUGGCGCACCUAGGCGACGAUCAGUAACUGGUCUGAGAGGAUGACCAGUCACACUGGGACUGAGACACGGCCCAGACUCCUACGGGAGGCAGCAGUGGGGAAUUUUCCGCAAUGGGCGAAAGCCUGACGGAGCAAUACCGCGUGAGGGACGAAGGCUUUUGGGUCGUAAACCUCUUUUCCCUGGGAAGAAGAUCUGACGGUACCAGGGGAAUCAGCAUCGGCUAACUUCGUGCCAGCAGCCGCGGUAAUACGAGGGAUGCAAGCGUUAUCCGGAAUUAUUGGGCGUAAAGCGUCCGCAGGUGGCUCUGUAAGUCUGUCGUUAAAGAAUGGGGCUCAACCCCAUACAGGCGAUGGAAACUACAAGGCUAGAGUUUGGUAGGGGUCACGGGAAUUCCUAGUGUAGCGGUGAAAUGCGUAGAUAUUAGGAAGAACACCAGCGGCGAAAGCGCGUGACUGGGCCAGUACUGACACUCAUGGACGAAAGCUAGGGGAGCGAAAGGGAUUAGAUACCCCUGUAGUCCUAGCCGUAAACGAUGAUAACUAGGUGUUGCCCG